rnacentral:rRNA from 1 species
UACGGGGGGAGCAAGCGUUGUUCGGAUUUACUGGGCGUAAAGGGUGCGUAGGCGGAAUGAUAAGUCAGUGGUGAAAUCCUGCAGCUUAACUGCAGAACUGCCAUUGAUACUGUCAAUCUUGAGUACAUUUGAUGAGGGCGGAAUGUGUCAUGUAGCGGUGAAAUGCUUAGAUAUGACACAGAACACCGAUUGCGAAGGCAGCUCUCAAAACUGUAACUGACGCUGAGGCACGAAAGCGUGGGUAUCAAACAGG